rnacentral:tRNA from 1 species
GGGCCUAUAGCUCAGCUGGUUAGAGCGCACGCCUGAUAAGCCUGAGGUCGAUGGUUCGAGUCCAUUUAGGCCCA